rnacentral:ncRNA from 2 species
AACGACCGCUAGGGGAGCCCUGUUAGAAGGGCUGAGAUUGAAGUUUGCCUUCAAGACCCUCAGAACCUGAUCUGGCUAAAACCAGCGUAGGGAAGUGGUGUAAAGGUCUA